UCCGUUGUAGCAAUACGAUGGAAAGUCUAGUGGCGAACGGGUGCUUAACACGUGGGCAACCUGUCAGGAAGUGGGGGAUAGCUCGCCGAAAGGCGAAUUAAUACCGCAUGUGAUUAGAGAGGACAUCCUUUCGAAAUUAAAGUCGGGGCAACCUGACGCUUUUUGUGGGGCCCGCGGCCUAUCAGCUAGUUGGUGGGGUAACGGCUCACCAAGGCGUUGACGGGUAGCUGGUCUGAGAGGACGACCAGCCACACUGGGACUGAGACACGGCCCAGACACCUACGGGUGGCAGCAGUCGAGAAUUUUUGACAAUGGGGGAAACCCUGAUCGAGCGACGCCGCGUGGAGGAUGAAGGUCUUCGGAUUGUAAACUCCUGUCAUUGGGGAACAAUGCGCAAAUAUUAACUGUAUUUGUGUUGAUAGUACCCGAAGAGGAAGAGACGGCUAACUCUGUGCCAGCAGCCGCGGUAAUACAGAGGUCUCAAGCGUUGUUCGGAUUCAUUGGGCGUAAAGGGUGCGUAGGCGGCGCGGUAAGUCGGGUGUGAAAUCUCGGAGCUUAACUCCGAAACUGCAUUCGAUACUGCCGUGCUUGAGGACUGGAGAGGAGACUGGAAUUCUCGGUGUAGCA
rnacentral:rRNA from 1 species